UGUGUAUGAUGACCUUUUUUUGCGGAAUCCGAGUUAAAUGUGCGGAUACUCACCUUGGAGAACUGAACACUCA